CAGCCGCCGCGGUAAUACGUAGGGGGCGAGCGUUGUCCGAAGUUACUGGGCGUAAAGCGCGCGUAGGCGGCUUCUUAAGUCUGAGGUGAAAGGUUCAACGCUAAACGUGAACAGUGCCUUGGAUACUGGGGAGCUUGAGUAUGGGAGAGGGCAGUGGAAUGGCUGGUGUAGCGGUGAAAUGCGUAGAUAUCAGUCGGAACACCCAUGGCGAAGGCAGCUGCCUGGCCUAAUACUGACGCUGAGGUGCGAAAGCGUGGGGAGCGAACGGGAUUAGAGACCCCUGUAGUCCCUGUCUCUUAUU
rnacentral:rRNA from 1 species